rnacentral:rRNA from 1 species
AUUGAACGCUGGCGGCAGGCCUAACACAUGCAAGUCGAACGAGUGGCGGACGGGUGAGUAAUGUCUGGGAAACUGCCUGAUGGAGGGGGGUAACUACUGGAAACGGUCUCUAAUACCGCCUACCAUCGGAUGUGCCCAGAUGGGAUUAGCUAGUGGGUGGGGUAAGGGCUCACCUAGGCGACGAUCACUAGCUGGUCUGAGAGGAUGACCAGCCAAACUGGAACGGAGACACGGCCCAGAUCCCUCCGGGAGGAAGAAGUGGGGAAUAUUGCACAAGGGGCGCAAGCCUGAUGAAGCCAUGCCGAGUGUAGGAAGAGGGCCUUCGGGUUGUAAAGUACUUUCAGCGGGGAGGCGUUACCCGCAGAAGAAGCACCGGCUAACUCCGUGCCAGCAGCCGCGGUAAUAC